UAAAGUUCCCAACUGAGCAUUCUGCCUCGGCCUUAUGAUAAUGAUGAAAACCCGAUAUGUUCUUCUGUCUCUCUUCACAUUCACAAUCUUUCUCAAUCCAGGAAAAACUGAAAUCCGUGAUAAAGCAACAUGUCAUUUAUUCAGUGGUAUGUGCUUCCCGGUUGUGUGUACUCCGCCACGUUUCCAGAUCGGAGAAUGUCGUCCGUUUGUGUUCUGCUGUGCAAUUACUGCCUAUGAGUGAUGGGAAGACACGAGAUCUCUGCUUGAGGAAUCAACAAUUCCAGCCUUAUCACGACCGUUGCCAAGAAUGCACUUUUGGCUCUUCUGCAGCUGAAAGACCAGAAAUAAAUCUCUGCUGUGAAUGAGUUAAAGAUCCCAUCUUAACAACAACAAGAAGGACAACAAGGACAAUAAUACAAAUCAGAAGGGACAAAUGCUUCCUUUUAUGUCCCUUGCUUUCUGAACAUAGUUAUUAGAUGAUGGGUAGGUUAUUAUA